rnacentral:rRNA from 1 species
UACGUAGGCAGCAAGCGUUGUUCGGAGUUACUGGGCGUAAAGGGUGUGUAGGCGGUUGUUUAAGUUUGGUGUGAAAUCUCCCGGCUCAACUGGGAGGGUGCGCCGAAUACUGAAUGACUCGAGUGCGGGAGAGGAAAGUGGAAUUCCUGGUGUAGCGGUGAAAUGCGUAGAUAUCAGGAGGAACACCGGUGGCGAAGGCGGCCAUCUGGACGACAACUGACGCUGAGAUGCGAAAGCGUGGGGAGCAAACAGG